UUUGUUUUCCAGCCGUUUAGCUAGAGGCUACAUGUAGCACAAAACAAUAACAAUGACUAGCCUCCUGCUAAUGCCCCCCGUGGCUCGAGAGAAACGCGUUCCUAUAGCCACUCAUUCCUACAUGUUGUACGAGUGGGUGUACGAUGAUUUACAAGACAAAUAAAAAGCAGCAUCAACAUAGAAUCCAUUCGCUAGUAAGCAUUAUCUAACUUGGUUAGCUAGGUAGGUAGUAGUAAUAGAGGCAACCAAUGGAAAUAUGUUUUUUUUCAUUGAAGAGUUGAAUUCUUAAACUUCAUUUGGAGGUUAAAUGGCUAAUAUACCUAGUUAAACCUGACGUGAUUGUAGGUAGCUGACUUACCAUUGUUGCUAGCAGUAGUCAAAUCUAACAUUAGUAAGUUGACCUUGCCCCUUUUGUGAGUUUGUGCUCGCAGAAUGAACUAUUCAGUUCUGCCUUCUCACAAGGCGCUAGUGUAUGAUACAGGCCAUAGAGGGUGUUGACCUGUGGUCUUUACUACAAUUUGAGUUUAACAACUUUUCUGUUUACAGCUCUGCAUGGCUCUAUAUGCUAUUUAUCCAUAAAGUUCCUUGUCCAUAGAUUGACUGUCAUUGUUCAUUGUUAUACGUCUAUUCUGUUCUGUUCUGUUUCCUGGUCUUCGGUCUAACUGUUAUGUACCAUGUCUUUUUCCAAAACACCCCUCAAUCAGUGUCAAAACGGAUUGUGGGCAAGACAAGUCAAGAGGAAGACGUGCGGGUUGAAACCAAGCCUCAACGAGAUCGACGGAUCUACUCUUCUUAUUAGUGAACUCAAACUUCUUUCAUUUACUUUUAGUAGGCCUACCAUCUCCUGCGGAUGUGCUACCCUUCCUAAGGAUUCUGUCAUUCCACAUCUACUGAUUCCUCAAGAUGAAUUUUGGUAAGCACAGAUGCUGUACUGUCUGUUCAUGAAAUGCACAGGGGGGUAUUCUAAGUAUGUGGUUUAGUGGCAGAGUUCAUUUGAGCAGUGGUGCUUACAGCUUUACUCCCUUUGAAGGAGUGCCUGCUAUGGAGGUGUGCUUUGAUGAGGUAAACUCCACAGUUGUGGUCAUGUCUGUAUUAGAAUGUGAAACAAUAUAUGGGAGAUGUUAUUAUCAAGUAUGUAUUUGCAUUGUAUGUGUGUGUGUGCAGGCUGUGCAUGCGUAACCCUUUGUGAACACACAGUGGGACAGUGCUAGUCGGCUGCAGGAGUGGCUGCAGGGCCAGCUGAGCUCAAUGGGGUGCACCAUCGGGGAGCUGGUGGGCCUCUUGGUCCUUCGCCCGGCCCAUCAUGCCGUUCUCCCGCUUGACCCAACCUGCUACAGCUGCUCCCUGCAUCAGUUCAGCUCACAGCUCAAUCAGCAUUCCGCUGAGCUACAGGUACAUACACGCUCGUGGUCUGUCACUCCAGUGGGUCUUUAGUGCCAGAGGAGACUACAGCAGAGCUGCUAAGUCCAUCCAGAACAGCAACAUUGAUGAUGAGAGAGUGACCUGCCUCCUCAACACUCGCAUCAUGAGGGUGGAGGUCUACUUCUCGUAUCUUUGUGUCAGCAUGGAGACUUCCACACAACUGGAAAGAGGACCAGUAAAACAAACUAAUGAAAUAGGCUAAUAUGCGGAGUGUUGUGAGGACUGCUGCCCUGAGAACACCGAGUGCAUUCUGGAAUAGGGAUUUGGCAGACGCCUUUGUCCAAAGCGACACAUAAAUACAAAACAACAUAAUAUUUAAAAUUGAACAGGUUCAUUAAUCCAACAUUAAUCAUUUCAGUAACAUUAAUCCAUAAACUAAUCAUGAUUAUUGCAGCUACUUAAAAUAGUCUUGAAUUUUGCAAUUUAGCCAUGUUUACUACUGUGUUGGUGGUAAUGUGAGCAGUGUUUUGAAUGAACUGAUCAUAAUCAUUAUUUCAGUAAUUGUACAGCAAUUCAGUUUAUUGUACAGCAUGCAUCAUUUUGUGUAAUCCUAUCUUUUAUUGACAGAGCCCUCACAAAUAAACUGAUAUAAAGAAUAAACAUAGAUGGUGAUGGUGACAAGGGUGCCUUCAGAAGGUGCCAUCCAGCAGUCCCAGCCUGGAGCCAGAGGCUGCUAUUGCAAAUCAGAUGGGGUAUGAUCUAUGUUGGGCAUCAGAAAGGUGGUGUAAGCAAGAAUUGCUACAGACAAUGAUACGAUUAGGUUCGAGAGGGAUCCCGUGUGUGCAGUACUGCUCCUCUGCUUUGUGAUGGUGAGACAUGUCUAACCUACAGUAUAUUACAUCCUUAUGUGUUCUUGAGAACACCAUAAGUUAUAUGGAAAGUCCGAAAAUAAAAGAGAAGGUGUCUAUGCUAGUAAAUAAAGCUCUGACCAUUCAUUCCAAUGACCAUGACCUCCUUGCCACUGCCAGAUGUAAUAGAGGUCGGAGGGCAGCUGCACUGUUGUGGCAUGUGUACUGGUAACAGCUUAUCUACAACACAAAGUAAUCCAUGUGCAGCAUGAAUUUAUGGAAGAAAACAGUAGAAAAGACAGGUAGAAUAGUUAUAUCCUUAAGACCAUACUCAUACCUUUGUGUUUAACACACCAAGUCCCAAGCACUUCCUCAACCUCCACAUUUGGGGCCAAUGAUUGAAAGAACCACUCUAACAGGGAAUCCCUGUUAUGGAGUGUGUUGUGGUGGGAUAUGCCAUUGCAUGCUGCACACAGGAACUGAUUAUUGGCACAGUCUCUGCACCUUAUUACAGCCUGCUUGAUAUGACAGCUGCCACAGAUAUAGCUGCCUGUGUCCUCUGCUUCCACCAUAUCCUUCAAUAAGGCUGGUCGUUCUGCAGACCACCUAUUGGCACUCUGGCUCUGUCACUCUGCCCAGCUCAGAGGAGCACUCUUUUCCUGCCCUACAUGUAUUACUGGAAUGUCAUCUAACACAGUGUUUUUCAACCUGUUUUGUGCCACGGCACACUUUUGACACUUAAAAUGUCCCACGGCACACUAACAUCCUAUGUGAAGAAAAAAUAAACAUACCAUAGCCUAAAAUUUCAAAUAAUACACAGAUAUGGCCUUAUUAUGGCUUCUAUGCAAGACCUGCUCAAUAUAACAAGCACCCUCUGUUUUAUUUGUAGGUGACUAUAUAUAAUUUAAUUGUUGUUUUUAACUGGAUAUGUGAUGAUUCUGUGAAUACUGGAUACAGGAAAUUGUGGAGGUGAGAUCUAAUA